AGCCACUAUUAUAAAACGAUAACUGCAGUCGCUAUCGAGCUGACCUGUGGCGCCCGAUGGGUCAGUUGGGACGCUGGGACAAACACCGAAAACACCGAAUCAAAAAGUAAAAGAAAGCACAAGACAGCAAAUGGAGAAGCAACAGGAAACGAAAGGACCAGGGAAAAGGAAAGGUGGUGAUGACAACAGACUCACCUCUCCUCCCACAAAACGUCAGGCAAUCUGUGACGUCACCAACCAGGGAAUCAAGACUGGAACGACGGUUGGAGAAUGCAGCUCUAGUACUAGACCAGUAAGCAGCACUGACAAAACAGAGGAAAACACUGAUGACAG